ACUUUCAACAACGGAUCUCUUGGUUCUGGCAUCGAUGAAGAACGCAGCGAAAUGCGAUACGUAAUGUGAAUUGCAGAAUUCAGUGAAUCAUCGAAUCUUUGAACGCACAUUGCGCCCGCCAGUAUUCUGGCGGGCAUGCCUGUUCGAGCGUCAUUUC
rnacentral:rRNA from 1 species